GGACUACCGGGGUUUCUAAUCCCAUUCGCUACCCACGCUUUCGUGUUUCAGUGUCAGGAAUGCGCCAGUGAACUGCCUUCGCUUUUGGUGUUCCCCAUGAUAUCAACGGAUUUCACCCCUACUCCAUGAGUUCCAUUCACCCCUCGCACCCUCCAGUCGUACCGUUUCUUUCGCAGAUUCGAGGUUAAGCCUCGAGUUUUGACGAAAGACUAAUACGACCACCUACACACCCUUUACGCCCAAUGAUUCCGGAUAACGCUCGGGGCACUCGUAUUACCGCGGCUGCUGGCAC
rnacentral:rRNA from 1 species